rnacentral:rRNA from 1 species
AGUGAACGCUGGCGGCAGGCUUAACACAUGCAAGUCGAACGGCAGCACAGUAACAGCCCGCUCUUCCGGGGGGCGAGUGGCGAAUGGGUCAGGAAAACAUCGCAACCUACUUUUUAUAAGGGGGCAACGGAGGGGCACAUACGCCAAUAGCGCAUACGACGUAAGGGUGGAACCAGCGGAUCCUUGGCGCUUGCGGGACUGCAUGUGCCGAUGUCGGAUUAGCUAGUUGGUGGGGUAAAGGCCUACCAAGGCGACGAUCCGUAGCUGGUCUGAGAGGAUGAUCAGCCACACUGGAACUGAGACACGGUCCAGACUCCUACGGGAGGCAGCAGUGGGGAAUAUUGGACAAUGGGCGCAAGCCUGAUCCAGCCAUGCCGCGUGAGUGAAGAAGGCCUUCGGGUUGUAAAGCCCUUUUGUUGGGAAAGAAAAGCAGCAGAAUAAUACCCCGCUGUUCUGACGGUACCCAAAGAAGAAGCACCGGCUAACUACGUG